rnacentral:rRNA from 1 species
UACGGAGGAUCCAAGCGUUAUCCGGAAUCAUUGGGUUUAAAGGGUCCGUAGGCGGUUUGGUAAGUCAGUGGUGAAAGCCCAUCGCUCAACGGUGGAACGGCCAUUGAUACUGCCAGACUUGAAUUAUUAGGAAGUAACUAGAAUAUAGUAGUGUAGCGGUGAAAUGCUUAGAGAUUACAUGGAAUACCAAUUGCGAAGGCAGGUUACUACUAAUGAAUUGACGCCGAUGGACGAAAAGCGUGGGUAGCGAACAGG